rnacentral:rRNA from 1 species
ACGAACGCUGGCGGCGUGCUUCACACAUGCCAGUCGAACGGAAAGGCCCUGCUUUUGUGGGGUGCUCGAGUGGCGAACGGGUGAGUAACACGUGAGUAACCUGCCCUUGACUUUGGGAUAACUUCAGGAAACUGGGGCUAAUACCGGAUAGGAGCUCCUGCUGCAUGGUGGGGGUUGGAAAGUUUCGGCGGUUGGGGAUGGACUCGCGGCUUAUCAGCUUGUUGGUGGGGUAGCGGCUUACCAAGGCUUUGACGGGUAGCCGGCCUGAGAGGGUGACCGGCCACAUUGGGACUGAGAUACGGCCCAGACUCCUACGGGAGGCAGCAGUGGGGAAUAUUGCACAAUGGGCGGAAGCCUGAUGCAGCAACGCCGCGUGCGGGAUGACGGCCUUCGGGUUGUAAACCGCUUUCGCCUGUGACGAAGCGUGAGUGACGGUAAUGGGUAAAGAAGCACCGGCUAACUACGUG